rnacentral:rRNA from 1 species
UUUCGAAAGAAAGAUUAAUACCCGAUAGCAUAGUUUUUCCCGCAUGGUUUCACUAUUAAAGAAUUUCGGUUAUCGAUGGGGAUGCGUUCCAUUAGAUAGUUGGCGGGGUAACGGCCCACCAAGUCAACGAUGGAUAGGGGUUCUGAGAGGAAGGUCCCCCACAUUGGAACUGAGACACGGUCCAAACUCCUACGGGAGGCAGCAGUGAGGAAUAUUGGUCAAUGGACGAGAGUCUGAACCAGCCAAGUAGUGUGAAGGAUGACUGCCCUAUGGGUUGUAAACUUCUUUUAUACGGGAAUAAAGUGGAGUAUGCAUACUCCUAUGUAUGUACCGUAUGAUAACGA